rnacentral:rRNA from 1 species
GUCCACGCCGUAAACUAUGAAUGCUAGCUAUUGGCGAUACACAGUCAGUGGCACAGAGAAAUCGUUAAGCAUUCCACCUGGGGAGUACGCCGGCAACGGUGAAACUCAAAGGAAUUGACGGGGGCCCGCACAAGCGGAGGAACAUGUGGUUUAAUUCUAUGAUACGCGAGGAACCUUACCCGGGUUUGAACGCAGGGGGAAUACGGUUGAAAGAUCGUCGCCAGCAAUGGUCGCCUGCGAGGUGCUGCAUGGUUGUCGU